AGCGAACAUUGGCGGUAGGCUUAACACAUGCAAGUCGAGCGAGGCGUAAUAGUCGAGCGGCGAACGGGUGAGUAAUACUUGGGAAUCUGCCCUGAAGUGGGGGAUAACGUCCAGAAAUGGACGCUAAUACCGCAUAAUCCAUAUCGGGAAAGCGCGCUGCGCCUUAGGAUGAGCCCAAGUCUGAUUAGCUAGUUGGCGGGGUAAAGGCCCACCAAGGCGACGAUCAGUAGCUGGUCUGAGAGGAUGAUCAGCCACACUGGAACUGAGACACGGUCCAGACUCCUACGGGAGGCAGCAGUGGGGAAUCUUGCGCAAUGGGGGGCAACCCUGACGCAGCCAUACCGCGUGUGUGAUGAAGGUCUUCGGAUUGUAAAGCACUUUCAGCGGGGACGACAAUGACGGUACCCGCAGAAGAAGUCACGGCUAACUUCGUGCCAGCAGCCGCGGUAAU
rnacentral:rRNA from 1 species